UACGUAGGGUGCAAGCGUUGUCCGGAAUUAUUGGGCGUAAAGAGCUCGUAGGCGGUCUGUCGCGUCGGCUGUGAAAUCCCGAGGCUCAACCUCGGGUCUGCAGUCGAUACGGGCAAACUAGAGUAUUGCAGGGGAGACUGGAAUUCCUGGUGUAGCGGUGAAAUGCGCAGAUAUCAGGAAGAACACCAAUGGCGAAAGCAGCUCUCUGGGACGGUACUGACGCUGAGACGCGAAAGCGUGGGGAGCGAACAGG
rnacentral:rRNA from 1 species